GGUGCGCCUGCGGAGGCGGUCCUGUGACGUGAAUAACCCUAUACCUUCCAAUUUGAAAUCAGAAGCAAAAAAGGCUGCCAAAAUAUUAAGAGAAUUCACAGAAAUAACUUCCAGAAAUGGACCUGAUAAGAUCAUUCCUGCUCACGUAAUUGCGAAGGCUAAAGGCCUUGCAAUUCUGUCUGUGAUCAAAGCCGGGUUCCUGGUGACUGCCAGAGGAGGCAGCGGGAUUGUAGUGGCGCGCCUUCCAGAUGGAAAAUGGUCUGCACCCUCAGCCAUUGGGAUAGCUGGCCUUGGUGGAGGAUUUGAAAUAGGAAUUGAGACACAUUUACAGCUACAUAUUCCCUCUGAGCAUUGCCCUGGCUGCCUUCCAUAAGUGUGGGUAUCAGACUUGGUGAUAAUUCUGAAUUAUGACCGUGCUGUAGAAGCUUUUGCAAAAGGCGGAAAUCUAACCCUCGGAGGGAACUUGACUGUGGCGGUUGGGCCCUUGGGAAGGAACUUGGAAGGAAACGUGGCCCUGAGAAGCUCCGCUGCUGUCUUCACAUACUGCAAGUCGAGGGGACUCUUUGCAGGCGUGUCUUUAGAAGGGAGCUGUUUGAUUG
rnacentral:sRNA from 1 species